rnacentral:rRNA from 1 species
GACGAACGCUGGCGGCGUGCCUAAUACAUGCAAGUUGAGCGCUGAAGGUUGGUACUUGUACCGACUGGAUGAGCAGCGAACGGGUGAGUAACGCGUGGGGAAUCUGCCUUUGAGCGGGGGACAACAUUUGGAAACGAAUGCUAAUACCGCAUAAAAACUUUAAACACAAGUUUUAAGUUUGAAAGAUGCAAUUUCAUCACUCAAAGAUGAUCCCGCGUUGUAUUAGCUAGUUGGUGAGGUAAAGGCUCACCAAGGCGAUGAUACAUAGCCGACCUGGGAGGGUGAUCGGCCACAUUGGGACUGAGACACGGCCCAAACUCCUACGGGAGGCAGCAGUAGGGAAUCUUCGGCAAUGGACGAAAGUCUGACCGAGCAACGCCGCGUGAGUGAAGAAGGUUUUCGGAUCGUAAAACUCUGUUGGUAGAGAAGAACGUUGGUGAGAGUGGAAAGUUCAUCAAGUGACGGUAACUACCCAGAAAGGGACGGCUAACUACGUGCCAGCAGCCGCAGUAAAAC